AUGGGUGAGCCUGCAUCUAGAAAAUUACCCCUGGCUGUUCCCGGAAGAUGAAAGAAACGUGACAACUCACAUGCUGGUUCUUAAAACUUUUACUCAAAAAUGGCACUUCAUCAGCUUAAACAAAUCGCAUGUUCAUGCCUGAAUUUAGAAGAGCAAGGAUGGAACCACAGGCCACCCUUGAUGGAAAUGGAGAAGGGGUAUCUCUGGGUCUUAUGAGAAGAAUGGAAUGUAUAAAGACCAUAGAGGAGGUGGAGAGAGGUAGUUCUACUGGACAGCAUUAUAUUAUAAUCAACAAAGAAGACUAAAGUCGUAUAAUG